AGCCGCAGCUUUUAGCUAUUAUUUUAAUAGAGCCUGCGCUUAUAUAUCUGGUAGUCGGCUGCUCCUCGCGGAGCUUGACUGCAUUUAUAGCAUGGGCCGCUCUCACGGUUGCACGAACGCAUUUGUGGAUGAAGUCCACCGUAGAGUGGGGCGAGGCCUACCCGGCAGAGGCCGCCCCUUAGAGCGCGGCCGGCACGACCAGAAGAGCGAUUUUUUGUCGGUGCCAUAUGGUACUGGUGACCUCCGUAUGGUGGGGGAGGUCGCGCGAGGGGCUGGGAAGCGGAUGUCCACUGGGAGGGCUCCCACUGUUUUUAGCAUCAUCCGUGGCGGGAGGGACCCGCGCCGGCGCCGGGAGGGAUCGGGUGUCUAUG
rnacentral:lncRNA from 1 species